AUUUCACAAGAUAAUUAUUUUCUGAAGUGAUGUCACGGGAUGGGGGGGGGGAGCGAAACGAAAACAAUUCCAGCGCCUCGAGGAGAGAUCCUGUCCGGGCUCGCCGGCCCGAGACCGACUCUGAUUUUCCCCUCCCCUCCGCAGCCGAUGCCACGCGGGUGGCUCGCCGGGGCCCUGCUACAAAGCCGCCCUUAAAAGCGGCAAGCGGGGACGGGCGGGGGACAAUCGGGGCCUUGUGGCGGCGCCCCGCCGCCCGCCAACAGCCCCGGGAGCACGAAGGCACCGCCCGGGGCCGGGGCCGCGCUCGGCAGCCGGGUUUCACGGGGUUCCUUCCUUCACCCGGGCUUUUUCCUUUCCCAAGGGCGUCCCCGCGACGCUCGACGCCGUGCUUCGGCCACCAGCCCCCAUCCAAGCGCCGGCCGGAGCCUGGGAACGGGGCUGCUCCUGCCAAAAGGCCCCGGGGCGGGCGAUAUCCGGGGCUCGGCGUGAACGUGGCUCCGGGUGGGGGGGCUCACCGUGGCGGGGCCGGUCCCUCGGUGUCCCGGGCUGUCCCUCGGGGGCACGGGGACGAGCAGGAUCCGUGCGAGGCGCGGGGACGGCUGCCUGCUUCGGUCUUCGCCCGCCGGCGGGGACAGACCGGGCUCGGCGGCGGGACGAGCGCGGUGCCACGGCGGCGUGCCCGGUGCCACGGCACGGGAGUGACCCCAAAAUCUCGCUCUCCGCGUCCCCGACGGAGCCACGGGGCCGAGGGACCCUCCCCGGGGUGGAGGAGCCCCUUCCGAGGGCUCGGCGGCUUGACACCAGGACAGGGCCUCGGACGAGGGCUUCGGCUGCAGCGCUGCCCCACCGGGAGCCGCGGCUGCCCAGCACGUACCGGGGCCGGGCAGGGCCCUGUAUGUGCCGGGGGCUGGAGGAGGGCAGGGACCGGGAUUUGGGGCCGAGCCGCCCGGCUGCCACGGCUCGAGGACACCGGAGAAUUCCCUCGGCUCCUCCUCCCCUACAACGAGCUCAAAAGGGGGAAGAGAAACGGCGGCACCGCGAGCUUCCCUGAAGCUCCCCCCGCCCUGCGGAGCCACGCAGGACGCGGGAUGUCCCCUUCCCAGCACCGGGGGGGGCAAUCAGUGACCCUACAGAGGGCAGGCGCCUGAGCACCGCAGCACCCGGAGCCCCCAUGGCACCCAAAACCUCCUUUUUUCGCCCCAACGCCGUCCUGGUACCCCGCUGGGCUCGGGGAGCGGCGGCGGCACCGGGCGGGAUUUUGGGACAAGGCCAGCGGGGCCGUCCCCUCCCCGGCGUGCCGCCCCUCGCCGAGCCGGCUGCGGGGCCUGUCGGGCCGCGUGCCGUCCCAGCUGGGCCGCCAAGCUCCCAGUUAACUCCCAUCGCCUCCCAGUUAACUCCCAUCGCCUCCCAGUUCACUCCCAUCGCCUCCCAGUUCACUCCCAUCGCCUCCCAGUUCACAGCCCGGCGAGCGCCGGGGAGGCGGCGGCUCGAGCAGGA
rnacentral:lncRNA from 1 species